GUCCAAAUGACUGCUGGAUAGCCCUGAAUGUUCAUUAUUUUUAUAUAAUAAACAUUUUGCACAUAGGAAAACUCAGUGAGUUUGAUUAUUCUCAGAUGAAGUUUAGACCAGAAAUCACACAGACAGAUGAUAAAGCCAGGGAUCUAAAACGAUCAAUAAACACGAAGAGACCACCAACCAACAAGAAAGGUCUCAGAGCUUAAACCAGAGACUAGAAUACACAGGAAGGUCUCAGAGCUUAAACCAGAGCCUAGAACACACAGGAAGGUCCUGGAGCUUAAACCAGAGCCUAGAACACACAGGAAGGUCUCAGAGCUUAAACCAGAGCCUAGAACACACAGGAAGGUCCCAGAGCUUAAACCAGAGCCUAGAACACACAGGAAGGUCUCAGAGCUUAAACCAGAGCCUAGAACACACAGGAAGGUCCCAGAGCUUAAACCAGAGCCUAGAACACACAGGAAGGUCCCGGAGCUUAAACCAGAGCCUAGAACACACAGGAAGGUCCCAGGGCUUAAACCAGAGCCUAGAACACACAGAAAGGUCCCGGAGCUUAAACCAGAGCCUAGAACACACAGAAAGGUCUUGGUGCUUAAAUCAGCAACUGCUAUCAAACAAAGAAGCCAAAGUUCCACAGACAGACCGUGUCUCAAAAAGUCAAAACCAAGCCAAAUCAAAACAAUUAUUAACACGCAGGGAAGGUCCAAGAAUGUAAACCAGGGACUAUUUAAACAGUCA
rnacentral:lncRNA from 1 species